rnacentral:rRNA from 1 species
CACGUAGGGCGCAAGCGUUGUCCGGAAUUAUUGGGCGUAAAGAGCUCGUAGGCGGAUUGUUAAGUCAGGGGUGAAAUCCUGGAGCUCAACUCCAGAACUGCCUUUGAUACUGGCGAUCUCGAGUCCGGGAGAGGUGAGUGGAACUGCGAGUGUAGAGGUGAAAUUCGUAGAUAUUCGCAAGAACACCAGUGGCGAAGGCGGCUCACUGGCCCGGUACUGACGCUGAGGUGCGAAAGCGUGGGGAGCAAACAGG